UUCUGUUGGAAUAACCUGUCUGUGUAGUCUAUCGCAUGCAUGGUGAUUUUUAUUGUUAUUCCAUUCUGUAUUAUUCUGUUAGAAUAUCUUCUCGGUGCGUAUUACGCCUGACCUGGUUUCAUUAUUUAUUAUUCUGUUGGAAUAACCUGUCUGUGCGGUCUAUCGCAUGCAUGCUGAUUUCUGUUGUUAUUUCAUUCUUUAUUAUUCUGUUGGAAUAUCCUGUCGGUGCGUAUUACGCCUAAGCUGGUUCAAUUAGUUAUUAUUCUGUUGGAAUAACCUG
rnacentral:lncRNA from 1 species